GGGAAUACCGCACUCUGAAGCGUACCACGGGCCAGGCCGGCGGCGGGCUCCGCAGCUCCGAGUCGCUCCCCGCGGCGGCCGAAGAGGCGCCAGAGCCCCGCUGCUGGGGGCCCCAUCUGAAUCGGGCUGCGACCAAGAGUCCACAGUCUACGCCAGGGCGGAGCCGCCAGGGCUCGGUGCCGGACUACGGGCAGCGGCUCAAGGCCAAUCUGAAAGGCACCCUGCAGGGCCCAGAGGCUUCAGCCUUCCAAGAAGUCAGCAUCCGUGUGGGGAGCCCCCAGCCCAGCAGCAGUGGAGGCGAGAAGCGGAGAUGGAACGAGGAGCCCUGGGAGAGCCCCGCACAGGUCCAGCAGGAGAGCAGCCAAGCUGGACCCCCAUCGGAGGGGGCUGGGGCUGUAGCAGUUGAGGAAGACCCUCCAGGGGAACCUGUACAGGCACAGCCACCUCAGCCCUGCAGCAGCCCAUCGAACCCCAGGUACCACGGACUCAGCCCCUCCAGUCAAGCUAGGGCUGGGAAGGCUGAGGGCACAGCCCCCCUGCACAUCUUCCCUCGGCUGGCCCGCCAUGACAGGGGCAAUUACGUACGGCUCAACAUGAAGCAGAAACACUACGUGCGGGGCCGGGCACUCCGUAGCAGGCUCCUCCGCAAGCAGGCAUGGAAGCAGAAGUGGCGGAAGAAAGGGGAG
rnacentral:lncRNA from 1 species